CGUGGUUCAGGAAAGUACCUUUUCCGUCCAUCCCAGGUACAGUAGGUGUUAAUUGCUACGGCGAGCGGUGGGAGCUGCCGAGUCCAUCCACUCACCCCAAGAACAGAGCUGGCGGCAGAGGAAGCUGUCGUCGUCCAUCCACUACACCCACUUCUACGAUUCAGUCCGAGUAAGCUGCCCUCGUUGCGGCCAUGGAAUUCCUGAUGCAGCCCAUUCGCAGGACGACAGUGCUAUAGGAGGUUAACGACAGUGAAAUCCCCCUGGAGCCACUGAGAUACCUGGUGCCAGUGCAGCUGGUGGAGUAGCAGCAAUCGAUGGUGGAAGCAGGGAGCGCGAAUGGCCAGAUCUGCGCUCAGCAGGGGAGGAUGGCGGCGGAGGGAGCGGAUCCUCCACCGGCGUCUGGACUGUCGGCUUGAACGGUGAACCCGCAGGCCCUAGGCUAGCGGAAAAAGGGUGCGAGUUGGUGCUGCUGCUCCAGGAAGAACGCGUGUCCGGACCGCACGUCGGCAUUGGAGAAAACGAUCCGGUCUUUUGCAGAUAAUCCGGUCUUUUGGAGGAACGAGUUUUGACUCGCUGGGGAAGUGAAUGCACGUGAUAAACGCAGAUGAAGACGCAAUCAGUUGUAACAACAAAGCAGUGCUUUUUUUAACACAAGGAAGGCGCCAGCAAGCACCAAAUUUCGAUUCAACUCAUAGGCAAUGUACAACAUGUAUUACAUAUCCCUGUAUCUGGAAAUUGAGAAAGGAGAGCAAAACAGGGCAAGAGCCAUUGGUAUGAGCAGAAUGAGUACAAUUGAAAACAUGUUCUACUCUUGAGUUGAGUACCUGAUGAGCAUAGUUGUGAGCAAUUCCAUUAGUAUUCCUAGAGAUGUGGUAAACAGCAAAAUGGAAUUGUGAAGUGUCUUGAAAGAACUCGCUAAUAGGUUGUCUGCAUCUCCAAGUACUGAUGGGGUUGUUGAUAUCUCUGGAUGCAACCACCUUGGCCAAAGAAAGAUUGUCUGUAAGGAAAGUAAUCCGCUGAAGUUGAAGCCUACAAGCAACCUUUGCAGCAAACUGAAGUGCAAGAGCUCCAGUGACGAGAGGCGAGGCGGCAGAGUCAGUAGAAGCUUGGAUCAUAAUCAUCGAAUCUGUCCAGUCGCCAUCAAAUCCCCCUGACCUGGUAUGUUCUUUUUCUUCCAAGACUCUUCAAUUGCUAAAUCAGACUUGAGUGUACAACCUUGCUGGAAAUUUUCAUGGCAUUGAGGGAACAUGGUAGAAGACUCAUCAGGAGGAGCAGGUUGGCUUCCUGGAUUAUGUUGUUGGGUGUCCUGCAUAAUUUGAGUUGAUGCAAUGGCAAGCGCAGCCUGAUGAACCUGAUGCAGAUACGAGGUUUUCCUGCAAAACAGAGUAUCGUUUCUUGCUUUCCAUAAACGCCACAAGAAAGUAAAUAUGUUAGGGACCGAAGCUUGUGGGCGAUUCAUGUUAAUUAGAGCCAAAACAAUAUCAGCAACAGAAUUAUGAGGUUGUGCAAGAAGGUCAGAUUUUAUAUACCAAGGAUGUCCAAAUCAAGCGGCUCUAGAAGAACUGCAAAGAAUCAACAAUUCAGAUGGCAGGAUUAUUUCCCCCAGCUAAAAGGAAGUAGAUUGGAUG